rnacentral:rRNA from 1 species
UACGGAGGGAGCUAGCGUUGUUCGGAAUUACUGGGCGUAAAGCGCGCGUAGGCGGCUUUGUAAGUUAGAGGUGAAAGCCCGGGGCUCAACCCCGGAAUUGCCUUUAAGACUGCAUCGCUAGAAUUGUGGAGAGGUAAGUGGAAUUCCGAGUGUAGAGGUGAAAUUCGUAGAUAUUCGGAAGAACACCAGUGGCGAAGGCGACUUACUGGACACAUAUUGACGCUGAGGUGCGAAAGCCAGGGGAGCAAACGGG